AGGACGAACGCUGGCGGCGUGCUUAACACAUGCAAGUCGAACGGAAAGGCCCGCUUGCGGGUACUCGAGUGGCGAACGGGUGAGUAACACGUGGGCAACCUGCCCUCAGCUUCGGGAUAACACUUGGAAACAGGUGCUAAUACCGGAUAAUAACCUUUCAUCGCAUGGUGGUUGGUUCAAAGUUUUUCGGCUGAGGACGGGCCCGCGGCCUAUCAGCUUGUUGGUGGGGUAAUGGCCUACCAAGGCGACGACGGGUAGCCGGCCUGAGAGGGCGACCGGCCACACUGGGACUGAGACACGGCCCAGACUCCUACGGGAGGCAGCAGUGGGGAAUAUUGCGCAAUGGGCGGAAGCCUGACGCAGCGACGCCGCGUGAGGGAUGACGGCCUCGGUUGUAACCGUCUUUCUAGCUCUGACGAAGCGUAAGUGACGGUAGGAGCAGAAGAAGCACCGGCCGAACCUACGUGCCAGCAGCCGC
rnacentral:rRNA from 1 species